GCGCAGGGGCGAGCCGUGCAGCGGGUGCUGCGUGGCCUGGGCAGGGUGUGCGAGCAGCGGCGGGGGCGGCUGGAGCGGGACUAGUCGGGUUUCUUAUGAAAUUUCCCCGAAUUUUGUGUGUCACAGGAUUUCCUGCCUGGCUCAGCCCCAGAGAGGCCCCAGCCCUGAAUGGUGACGGCGGGCGGUUACGGGGGCCCUCGGCGCUUCCCUUUGCGAGGAGGGCCCUGGAUCAAGACCUCUUUGUGACGGCCUUGGGCACACACUGAGCAGCUCUGACGCCUGUGCCCAGCUUUCCUGCAGCAUGCUUGCUGCAACUGAACGUUCCUUUUCGGGUGGUGGGACCAGGAGAUCGUUCUACGGGAUGUACAAAAGCUGUGAAGACGAGACCUGCUGGACAGUAAGAAGCCAGAACCGCUUCACUUUUAUUCACUCUCUGGGAUACAAGCAAAAGAAACCAGAGCAAGUCCCUGCCUGCUGAAAUUCCAGGGGCUCACACUGAAUUACAGCAAGGCCUGGAGGCAUUUUGAAUCUUUUCUUGUAUACAUCAGCUCCACGCUGCUCCCGGGCAAUUGCACUUUAAGUUAGUUAAUA